CCUACGGGUGGCAGCAGUGGGGAAUAUUGGACAAUGGGGGCAACCCUGAUCCAGCCAUGCCGCGUGUGUGAAGAAGGCCCUCGGGUGGUAAAGCACUUUCAGUGAGGAAGAACGCCUGGUGGUUAAUACCCAUCAGGAAAGACAUCACUCACAGAAGAAGCACCGGCUAACUCCGUGCCAGCAGCCGCGGUAAUACGGAGGGUGCGAGCGUUAAUCGGAAUUACUGGGCGUAAAGCGCGCGUAGGUGGCUUGAUAAGCCGGUUGUGAAAGCCCCGGGCUCAACCUGGGAACGGCAUCCGGAACUGUCAAGCUAGAGUGCAGGAGAGGAAGGUAGAAUUCCCGGUGUAGCGGUGAAAUGCGUAGAGAUCGGGAGGAAUACCAGUGGCGAAGGCGGCCUUCUGGACUGACACUGACACUGAGGUGCGAAAGCGUGGGUAGCAAACAGGAUUAGAUACCCCUGUAGUC
rnacentral:rRNA from 1 species